UUUUCUUCCAUGCUCAAGAACUGCAUCUCUGGCGUCCGCAGCUCAUCUCUCCCCACUGCAGCUCGGGCCUUUCAGCCCCUGGAAGCCAAUUAGGUUCGGAUCCAUCAGCACAGCACCAUCAUGAGCACCGUGGUCUCCAGCUCUACAGGUAUCGACAUAUACAAGUUGCAACAUCUGGGGAAGGUGGCUUGGUUUAAGCCUAGUGAGGUUCUCGAGAUAUUGCGGAAUUUUGAGCAGCUGGGGAUCCAACACAAGACCCCUUAGAGGCCACCGAGUGGUUCUUGGUUUCUUUUCAACCGCAAGGUACACCGCUUAUUCCGGAAUGAUGGGUAUCAAUGGCAGAAAAAGACGACUGAGAAGAGCAAUUAUGAAGCCCAUGAGUACCUUAAGGUUGAUAAUGUUAAGGCACUGAAUUGCUACUAUGCUCGCGUAGAAGAAAAUCCUACAUUCAUGAAGCGGAUCUAUUGGAUGCUUGAACCGGCUUAUGAUCACAUUGUUCUUGUCCAUUAUAGAGACGUUCUAGAGGGAACUUUAACAGCUGAAACAGAUGUGCAACAAUUUGCAGUUAUACAUGGAGACCAUGAAACAGAUAUGCAGGUGCAAAAUAGUGAUUGUUGUAGUGAAACAAAUGUGCAACAGUUCGCAGUUAUGCAUGGAGACCAUGAAACAGAUAUGCAGAUAGAACCAACACCUGACUAUAUGCCGUUGCAACAUUUGAAAGACAUCACAAACAACUUUUGCAAUGAGAGAAUACUUGGUAGAGGUGGUUUUGGUGUGGUAUAUAAGGUAAGUCUAAUGCAUAUAUGUUUGUGUUUUCUUAAAGCACUACAUAAUCAGGCUUUGGAGAUGGUAUUAAACAUGCUCUGGAGGCGGUUUUCCAUUCUGCCACACGGGUGUCUUCGGGGUCGACCAUUAGGAUAUCCGGCAAGGCAGUGGUGGCUAGGGAGGCCGUGCCACCCCCUUUAAUCUAGCCUGAUAUGACCGAGAGUGGAGAUGAAGGUUUUGGCAAGAUCUUCCGGACAAAAGACGCAUACCCACUAAAGAAAUAUAAUGGGUUGCUCGCCUUCUCGGUGUAGUUGUAGAAGUCACGACAAGUCGACAAGGGCCUCCUCCUGGGGUUGGCACUUGGCGGCAACGGCCGAUGAUGGCGGCGGUGGCGGGAAGCAGUCCUCCAUGGUCGGUGGCAAGGCUUGGUGGCGGAGGAGGUGGCGACGGGAGAGCCAACCCACUUACACUCAACUCCUUGUUCGGCGACACUAUCCCAUGCAGUUCUACCCAUGCCCUCACCCUCGAUUGAUUCUGAUAGGAAAUGCCCCGCCUCCAUUCCUUCGAAUAGUAGAGAAAGACAAUGGCAUAGGGCGCGGUGGUAGAGGAUAUAUAUAGGCUAUGUGGUAGACAUACUAGAGCCAGUUAUUACAAAGAAACUACCUCGAAUACUUACAACUUGUAGAUAGUUCCAUAAAACUAACCGCCUUCCUCUAUUACUAUAGGUGGUUCCAAUUUCGGAACCACCUCCGAUAGUCUCUAUAACAAAUAUAACCGCAUCCGAGGGGCUAUUGCCAAAACCGCCUCCGAAGGACACAUCCAAUGCCCAUUUCUGUACUAGUGAAGUGCAAACAAUACUUGACCGAGAAAUAAAUACCAUAUUAAUAAGAGACUGUAAUCAGGGAGUGCUACAAAAUGGAAAAAUGGUUGCAGUGGAGAAGCUUGUGCAGUCAAUGUCAAGCUCACGGGAGCAAUUUGAGAAUGAGGUUAAUCUUCUUAUGAAACUGAAGCACACAAAUAUAGUGCAACUACUAGGCUACUGUUAUGAAACACAGCAUUUACGUAAGCUCCAUGAAGGGAAAUUCAUUUUUGCUUGGAACACUGAGUGUUUGCUUUGCUUGGAGUGUCUGCCUAAGGGAAGUCUUGAUAUAUACAUUUCAGGUAUGGCAUUUAAUAGUUCUUGUUUCUCUACUUUUCAUCUCUCUUUGAGGUUGCAAUUUUCUUGUUUGAUCAUAGUUCCUAAAAACCAUAUUCUCAUGAAUGAACAGAACUGAGAAUAUACAAUAUAAAUUUCAAAGUCUUUCUAUAUAUAGAGUAAACUGGUAAUUGUAGAUUUUAAGACAUCAUCUAUAGAAUGCUCUUCUAUUACUUACAAAUGCAGAUGCAUCUUACAGAUUUGAUUGGCCCACACGCCUCCAAAUAAUUGAGCGGAUUUCCUAUGGUCUACAAUACCUCCAUGAGCAAUCCGAUGGUCCCAUUAUUCACUUGGACCUAAAACCGGCGAACAUAUUGCUUGAUGAAAAUAUGAUACCAAAAAUUACAGACUUUGGUCUGUCAAGACUGUUUGAUCAAAAACAAACUAUUCACACCGCAGUGACAACUGGAACGCUGUAAGUGAAUGCCCCUUGAUAAUCCAUUGCUUAGUAAGCAACACAUCUUAAAACUUUAUGUUCGAUCGCUCAUGUGAAUAAUGCAAAGGCUAUAUGCCGCCAGAAUACCUACGAGGUAUAAUCACACCUAUGUCAGACAUAUUCAGUUUGGGUGUGAUUAUCAUGGAGGUAAUAACAGGGCACAGGGACUACCCAUAUGAUAUUAGAACAUCUUCCAAAGAAUUCAUCGAGCUUGAACUUAAAAAAUGGAGAGAUGUGCUGCAAAUAGAACCGGGGUAUACAUCGCUUGAAAUAGAUUGCCAACAAAUAACAAGAUGCAUCCAGAUAGGUCUAAUAUGCGUGAAUCCUGAGCGGACCAAAAGACCUGCAAUGAAGAAAGUUAUCGAUAUGCUUCAAGGUUUGGAAAGUGUGGAUUGGUACAUUAGCAACGAGUUAUCAAGCCGACCACAACAUCCAGGUGGAGCCGCAGUAAAUUAGCAAAGGAGACUGCCACAACGUCCGUUGUUUCCGUCUUUCUGGUAUGUCACUUUCAAAUGUAUAGACAAUUUAAGUUGUUACAGAGGGCUUUGGACCCUGUCCGUAGGCGUUCCUACCAAGCAUGUGAAUGUGCAUAUAUGUG